rnacentral:rRNA from 1 species
GGAUGAACGUUGGCGGUGUGCCUAAUACAUGCAAGUCGAACGAAGAGAGUAGCAAUACAAUCUUAGUGGCGAACGGGUGAGUAACACGUUGGUGAUCUGCCUCGAAGUGUGGAAUAACCUCCCGAAAGGGAAGCUAAUACCGCAUAGUCUCUCAAGGUUUAGAAAAUUGAGAGUAAAGGAUUUAUUCGCUUCGAGAGGAGCCUGCGUCCCAUCAGCUAGUUGGUAGGGUAACGGCCUACCAAGGCAAUGACGGGUAGGGGACCUGAGAGGGUGGCCCCCCACAAUGGAACUGAAACACGGUCCAUACACCUACGGGUGGCAGCAGUAGGGAAUAUUAGAAUGGGCGGAAGCCUGAUCUAGCAACACCGCGUGUGCGAUGAAGGCCUUCGGGUCGUAAAGCACUUUUUGGAGGGAAUAGGAAGGAAGGUACCUCCAGAAUAAGUCUCGGCUAACUACGUGCCAGCAGCCGCGGUAACACGUAGGAGGCAAACGUUAUCCGGAUUCACUGGGCGUAAAGCGCGUGCAGGUGGUUUCGUAAGUAGGGCGUGAAAGCUCCCGGCUCAACUGGGAGAGGCCGUACUAAACUGCGGAGCUAGAGGAUGGUAGAGGGAGGUGGAAUUCCAGGUGUAGUGGUGAAAUGCGCAGAUAUCUGGAGGAACACCAGUGGCGAAGGCGGCCUCCUGGACCAUACCUGACACUCAGACUCGAAAGCUAGGGUAGCAAACGGAAUUAGAGACUCCGGUAGUCCUAGCCCUAAACGAUGCAGACUAGGCGUCGGCGGUUUAAUCACCGUCGGUGUCCAAGCUAACGCGAUAAGUCUGCCGCCUGAGGACUACGGCCGCAAGGCUAAAACUCAAAGGAAUUGACGGGUCCCCGCACAAGCAGCGGAGCGUGUGGUUUAAUUCGAUGCUCCGCGAAGAACCUUACCUGGGUUUGACAUAACAGUGGUAGAGAAACGAAAGUGGACCGACCCUUCGGGGAGCUGUUACAGGUGUUGCAUGGCUGUCGUCAGCUCGUGUCGUGAGAUGUUCGGUUAAGUCCGCUAACGAGCGCAACCCGCGCUGUGUGUUACAAGUGUCACACAGUACCGCCGGUAUUAAGUCGGAGGAAGGUGCGGAUGACGUCAAGUCAGCAUGACCUUUAUAUCCAGGGCUACACACACGCUACAAUGGUCAGCACAAUAGGUUGCCAAGCCGCAAGGCGGAGCCAAUCCUCCAAAGCUGGCCUCAGUUCAGAUUGCAGGCUGCAACUCGCCUGCAUGAAGUCGGAGUUGCUAGUAACCGCAGGUCAGCAUACUGCGGUGAAUACGUUCCCGGGGAU